UGGGGAAUUUUGGACAAUGGGGGCAACCCUGAUCCAGCCAUGCCGCGUGAGUGAAGAAGGCCUUCGGGUUGUAAAGCUCUUUCGGCCGGGAAGAAAUCGCGCAUUUUAAUAGGGUGCGUGGAUGACGGUACCGGACUAAGAAGCACCGGCUAACUACGUGCCAGCAGCCGCGGUAAUACGUAGGGUGCAAGCGUUAAUCGGAAUUACUGGGCGUAAAGCGUGCGCAGGCGGUUUGCCAAGACAGGCGUGAAAUCCCCGGGCUCAACCUGGGAACUGCGCUUGUGGCUGGCAGGCUAGAGUACGGCAGAGGGGGGUGGAAUUCCACGUGUAGCAGUGAAAUGCGUAGAGAUGUGGAGGAACACCGAUGGCGAAGGCAGCCCCCUGGGCCUGUACUGACGCUCAUGCACGAAAGCGUGGGGAGCAAACAG
rnacentral:rRNA from 1 species